UUUCGAAUAAUAGAUUUCCUUCAUAUAUCCUCGAAAAUAAGGUUCGAGAGUCUCUACCGGGUUACCAUAAACAACCUGACUAUGAAGGCAGAAUUUUCGGCU
rnacentral:ncRNA from 2 species